CUCAGUGCCAGCUGGAGCCCUUGUGGGCCGGGCAGCUCCAUUUAGGCCCAGGGCCAGGCCCCCAGUUCCUGGUUUGGGCUGUGCUGUGGUAGCUCUUCUGGUGUCCUUACUCUUCCUUCUGAAUGAAGGGGGGAACCUGUGCUGAAGGAUGAGCUGCAAAGAUGGAAUGGCAAACAGAUGCAGCAGUCUGCAUGUGGAGCCCAUCUGAUUUUUGGGGGACUAUUGCAUUUAAUCCCAGGAUUAAACUGUCUGAAGGUUGGUGUUACAAUGCCAUCAUAAAAACAAUCCUUCAGCUUUUGCUAUGGCCCUGGGUGACCUGGCUUGGGUGCUCCUUGGUCCAGUCCAGCCUUCAACCUUCUGCCUUCUGUUUCUGCCUUGGCUCUUCCAUGCUGCAGGGGCAGCUUCUGCCAUCUCCUCUGCUCCCAGCAGGACCUCAUCUCCCCGGGGCAGAGAAAAUGGGAAAUGGUUAAUUCUCAUGUGGAGAGCCUGCAAAAAUCAGAUCUCUGCUCAGUCACUUGUGCAGCCGGAAAGACUUCAAAUUUUGUUUGUAGUGUAAAAGACUCUUAACUGCCUGCUUUUGUCCGUACCACUGCAGUAUACUGUAAUUUGAAUUACUGUUUGGUUUUCUGUGCUACAGUUGCUGGCGGCUCCAUACAGAAUCCUGGUUUUAAUGUUCAUUUGAAUAUUUAAUUACUCUAUAAUAGCACAAUAAUUACUGUGUAGCUACAGAGGAAUUGCAUGGCUGUUUGUACUCUGUAAACUAGUGUUGACCUCAUCUGCAAACAAAUAAUUAUGCAGCAAACAUACCUGUUUAACUUAAACAGUUAUUAGCAGAGAACCAGGAGAAAUGUAGAAAGUGCUGUUGAUUCUUUCAUAAUGCCAUAUACGGAAUUCUUUAGUUUCUUGAUUUCUUUUACUGACAGAAUGUUAGAUGAUACAAACCAGCACCAGGAAAAAUAUUUCUAUAGCGUUUAAUGAUGCUAGAGCUACCUCUGAUGGCACCAUAUAAAUACGCGGUGCUUCCUAGCCCUUUAUUUCUGCAGCUGGCGAUUAAGCAAAUGGAAAUAUUUCCAAACAACUUCGUGUGCUCUGGCUGUGUCUCUGCAGUUGGGGGCCUGUUCUAGGAACUCGGAGGAAAACCACAAGGUGGCAAUGUGCACAAGGAAAUAAAGCCGCUCAGAUCUGCCUGGAAGCCACAGCACUCAAAGAUGGAAUUACUCAGCCUCGAGAUCUAACAGAGCUCCUGCGUUACAGGAGCUGGGGUAGGAUUUCAAGCAUCUUUUCCACUUUAGAAGGAUUUUAACUAAGAGUAUAUGUAAUGGAAAAUAUCUCUGUAGUGACUGCUUUGUUUCAUGCUGGUGGAUAUCUGCAGUAAAUGUUUCUUUCCUUUAGGUUCAGAUGCUCCCCAGUGAGUACUGGGGAACAUGUUUUCUUGUCACCAGUCCCCUGCCUGGUGAUCUGUCCUGGUGCACCUGUCCAUGCUCCAGGCAUGGGGAUGCUGAGCACCUUCUUGACCCCCUGACACCUUUCCCAUCCCUCCCUUGCUCUGGGUUAUCCUGGGCUGCAGGAGCGGCCUGUGCCUGCCUCUGACUUCUGCACACAUCGAGUGGGUUGCUGAGAAGGGACGGGCAAAACAGUGCUUGGACUGCUUUGAGGAAACCUGGCUUCCCUGAUAGUGCCCCUCUGAGGUGAGGGCUCAGACCUCUGUGUCUUGAUGCCAGACUGAGAAACAGCAAAACCUACCCUGUUUUGGCUUGUUAGAAGAUGUAUAUGAACUGCAGGGAAUUCUGAGAUCAAAGCUCAGUGACCACCUUCCUCGUAGGAAUGGCUUUUCUUAAGGAAAUAUGAUGCACAGUGUGCUGGUCCCUGUUGCCAGGUCCUUCAAAGCAGGCCUGUUUUAUACCCAUCCCUGAGGGAAGAUGUGUACUUCUCUUCCUGCUUUCUUUUUGGGAGUCAGCUCAUCCCUCUGCAGCAGAGACAGCAAAAUCAUCAGGCUAUAACUGUUGCAUACGUGCUCCUUGAGGUGCAUGCUGAGGUAUUAAGGUGUGUUGGUGGGAUGUGAUUCAGUCUAGUGCAAGGGGGGUGUUAAUCUGGCAGAACAAGUGCAGUGAGUUCCUGUUUGCUGAUCGGGGGCUUCGUGCUCGCUGUCUGCCGAGCUCUGCCCGGAGGAGCCCUGUGGGGCAGCUGGCUGUACCCGCUGCCCUCCAACAGCAGGUGGCAUCGCGGCUGAGCGCCCGGGAGGGAGCUCAGCUUUGGGACUUUCUGGGCAUGGUUCCAGGCAAUAAUAUCUUUUCCCACCAGUUGUGACAGAUCUAAACUUCACUUCACGUUAGAAGCUUAAAAAGGAACUGUUUUUAAAAAAAAAAAAAAAAAUCCCUUUUCUAGCUUGUUUGCAGACCAGCUAUCCCCAAAAUACCUGUGUAAGGCUUCCAAACGAGAGCAUGGGAGCAUGUCAUCGCUCUGAACCUGGUGAGGACCUGGUGCUUUACCAAAUGGACUUCGUGUCAGAGUUGCUGCAUGCAACUCUUAAUUUACAUUUUUGCUGUGAAAAGUCUGCCUUUUAAAUCUGUCUCUUAAGACAGUGUUAGUAAAAAAGCUCGGCUCAGCACAGCUCCUUGGUAGGAACAGGUCAAGAGGAGACAAAGUUGCACGCUACCCAAUGCAUCCAUGAGAUUUAGCCACUUGAUUUUAGACAACUGGGUUGUUUUUCUGUGGAUUUACAAGGGUUCCGUUCAGCACAGAAACAGUGAAGAUCAUGUUCUCUUACAUUCAUCUGUAUCCUGCAGGAUAGUAAAGCAGGCUUCAACAGCCCAGAUGAUUUUGAAAUGAAUUGCGGAGCUGGGUGGGGAAGUCAGUGGCUCUUUUCUAAAGAAUAGAGCCCUUAGUGUCUGUGCUGCAACACUAUUCCCCUUUUGUCUAUUUGUCUUUAGCUCUUUGUUAUGUCAACAUCUGUAGUUUUGAGUAAAUAGCAUAAGGGGAGAAUGCAUAUUGUACUCCUGUUAAAGGAGCGGGGCUGGGUGGGGGCCAGAUAACUGUAUGAACUGUGCUGCCUCUGUGAAGCAAGGAGGUCGGGAGUAAAUGCAUACAUAGGACUCCCAGAGACCCUAAUUUUAUGAUGAAUGAUAUUGCUUAGUACUUAAUUGACUACAUCCUUGCCUUGUGCAAACCAGUGUAGCUCUUGUGUCAGUCCUUUGGAUGUGUUGGUCCACUGGAGCCAAGUACCUGAUGCUUAUGUAGCUUCUCUGAAAUGUUCAUGUCUUUUGUCAGCUCCCUCCAGAAGCUUUUAGCUAUGCUGGUUCUUAAUUAUUAAAAAAUAUUUUAUUUGUAUAAUUGUGCAAACAUUUUAUCAUGGACUUUAAUGUGCUAUUGAACACAUUUUAUCAAGGACUUUAAAAUCCUGCUCUACUUGUAGCUAAUGCUGCCACCUCUCCAUCCUCCCCCCAGCUAGUUCCAAAUAAAAUGGGCAGAGUUGAAGUCCCAAAGCUAA